UGUCAUUGAAAGGAAAAGGGAUAGGAAACAAUUUAGUGACUAAAAUCCUCUAGUCACGAAACUAUAUCUGACUGGGUAAAUAACUCCUCUAUAUCUGACUGGGUAAAUAACUCCUCUAUAUCUGACUGGGUAAAUAACCCCUCUAUAUCUGACUGGGUUAAUAACUCCUCUAUAUCUGACUGGGUUAAUAACCCCUCUAUAUCUGACUGGGUUAAUAACUCCUCUAUAUCUGACUGGGUUAAUAACUCCUCUGACUGGGUAAAUAACUCCUCUAUAUCUGACUGGGUUAAUAACCCUCAUAUCUGACUGGGUUAAUAACUCCUCUAUCUGACUGGGUUAUAACUCCUCUAUAUCUGACCGGGUUAAUAACUCCUAUAUCUGACUGGGUAAACUCCCUUCUAUAUUCUGACUGGGUAAAUAACUCCUCUAUAUCUGACUGGGUGUAACUCCUUAUAUCUGACUGGGUAAUAACUCCUCUAUACUGACUGGGUUAUAACUCCUCU
rnacentral:lncRNA from 1 species